rnacentral:rRNA from 1 species
AUUGAACGCUGGCGGCAGGCUUAACACAUGCAAGUCGAGCGGGGUGAUGGUGCUUGCACUAUCACUUAGCGGCGGACGGGUGAGUAAUGCUUAGGAAUCUGCCUAUUAGUGGGGGACAACAUCUCGAAAGGGAUGCUAAUACCGCAUACGUCCUACGGGAGAAAGCAGGGGAUCACUUGUGACCUUGCGCUAAUAGAUGAGCCUAAGUCGGAUUAGCUAGUUGGUGGGGUAAAGGCCUACCAAGGCGACGAUCUGUAGCGGGUCUGAGAGGAUGAUCCGCAACACUGGGACUGCGACACGGCCCAGACUCCUACGGGAGGCAGCAGUGGGGAAUAUUGGGCAAUGGGGGGAACCCUGAUCCAGCCAUGCCGCGUGUGUGAAGAAGGCCUUAUGGUUGUAAAGCACUUUAAGCGAGGAGGAGGCUCUUUUGGUUAAUACCCAAGAUGAGUGGACGUUACUCGCAGAAUAAGCACCGGCUAACUCUGUGCCAGCAGCCGCAGUAA